GCUUCAGUAGGGCACUCUCUGUCUAUUACAAAGUGCUUGGUGGUUAAAGAUGCCAAGAAAGAGGAGAGUUUUUUUUACUAACUGUGAGAAGUGUGGAAAAGUGCAUCUGGAGGUAUGAGGCUUACCUUGCUGGGGAAUGUCUGUAAUUACAAACAGGACCAGGUGCAGUUUUAAUGUAAAGAAAGUAAAAUAGGAAUAAAUCAUGGCAUAAAAUUUCUUCUCAAUGCUCUUUUUUUUCCAGGCAGAGGAAGCACUAAGCACCAGUGCUCUGAACAGGCAACUCAGAGCUCUGAAACUGCAGUAGUACCUUCUGCUGGUGAAUAGCUGAGACUGAGCCCAUGAAGUCAUCGCUCUGGCAUAUUUUUUAAGGGUCAUUCUGGGAAAGUUCUGCAGUAAAUGAGUGAAGAUAUUACUGAUGCAGUCCUGCUGAAUUCACAGAGGUUUUGGAACUGUUCCUAACCUCAUGUCCAACUCAACUGAUUUCAAGAAAUUCUUUGGUUUUAAGAGUUCAUUCCUUUUUUUCCAAGACUUUCUUUUAGAUGUGGUUUCUGUUCAAAAGAAGGAAUUCUGAUGCAUAUACACACACAUGUAUGCACACACACAAAUUUUACACAGAUCUAAUGUUUCAGACUGACAGGAAAAAGCCAGGUUAAGAUGUGUCAUGGUUUGACAUGAAGCCAUUUCUGGUAAGAGAGAAGGAGCUGUAAAGAUGGCUCCUGUAAGAAGCUACUUGAAGUUCUCCACAGCUCUGAGCCAGACCCACUUCUGGGGCUGAGCCAAUUAGACACCUCCACAAUCACUUCUUAAGAAGAAGCAGGAAGAGGAGGGUUCUUCAUGUUCUUCCUCCUUCUAUCCCUUCUUCUUUUCCGGCUGGUGGUGGUGCAAGGAGUGGGAAGAGAGAGAGAAACAACCAUGCAGACUCCAAGGUCAGUAAGGGAAGAGAGGAGGAGGUGUGCUGGAGCAGACUCCCCUGCAUUCUAUGGAGAGGACUGGUGAAGCCAAGAUUUGUUAGCAUUUUGCUAAAGACCCCACAUCAGGAGCAGUGAUUCACUUCAUUAAAGACCCCGUGCCAGGGGCAGUGACUAUGGCUGGAGGAGGCCGUGUCCCAUGGGAGGGACCCCAUAUUCACAGAAGCUGUAACUGUGGGGAAGAACCCACACCAGAGACAUUCACUGAGGACUGUGUCCUGUGUGAGAGACCCUGUAUCAGCAGAAGCUGCAGCUGUUAGGAAGAACCCACACCAGAGAAGUUUGUUAAGGACUGUGUCCCGGGGAGGAACCCCGUAUUGGAGCAGGAGAAGAAUGCCAGGAGUCAUCCUCACAUGAGAACAGAGAAGCAGCAGAGCUCAUCUGUGAGAGACUGACCAGAUCCCCCUCUCUCUGUCGCCCUGAGCCGUUGUUGGGGGAGGAGGUAGACAUAUCAGGAGCAGUGAGCUGGGCCUGGGAAGAAAGGAGGGAUGGGAGAGGGAGAUCUUAAAGUGCUGGUUGUAAUUUUCUCAGUCAUCCUAUUAUCUUUUUCCUUUUUGUUCCACUUUGUUUCUUGUA